rnacentral:rRNA from 1 species
AACUAUACUAAUCUCGAUUGGUGACCAGCGGAGGGUCAUUACCGAGUUUACAACUCCCAAACCCCAAUGUGAACGUUACCAAUCUGUUGCCUCGGCGGGAUUCUCUUGCCCCGGGCGCGUCGCAGCCCCGGAUCCCAUGGCGCCCGCCGGAGGACCAACUCCAAACUCUUUUUUCUCUCCGUCGCGGCUCCCGUCGCGGCUCUGUUUUAUUUUUGCUCUGAGCCUUUCUCGGCGACCCUAGCGGGCGUCUCGAAAAUGAAUCAAAACUUUCAACAACGGAUCUCUUGGUUCUGGCAUCGAUGAAGAACGCAGCGAAAUGCGAUAAGUAAUGUGAAUUGCAGAAUUCAGUGAAUCAUCGAAUCUUUGAACGCACAUUGCGCCCGCCAGUAUUCUGGCGGGCAUGCCUGUCCGAGCGUCAUUUCAACCCUCGAACCCCUCCGGGGGUCGGGUUGGGGGGAUCGGCCCCUCACCGGGCCGCCCCCGAAAUACAGUGGCGGUCUCGCCGCAGCCUCUCCUGCGCAGUAGUUUGCACACUCGCACCGGGAGCGCGGCGCGGCCACAGCCGUAAAACACCCCAAACUUCUGAAAUGUUGACCUCGGAUCAGGUAGGAAUACCCGCUGAACUUAAGCAUAUCUAAAGGGGGGAAGA